rnacentral:rRNA from 1 species
GAUGAACGCUGGCGGUGUGUCUAAUACAUGCAAGUCGAGCGGGUUAUAUGUUUAAACUUCAUGGUGAUGGUAUGGACUUUUUUCCGGUUAAUUCUGGUCUUCUGCCCUCGCCAUCAUCAUGGGUUUAAAAUAUGUGAUCAGCGGCAGACGGGUGAGGAACACGUUGGAAUCUGCCCCAAAGUGAGGGAUAAUCUGCCGAAAGGCGGACUAAUACCGCAUGUGCCCGCAAGGGUAAAGCUUUAUGCGCUUUGGGAGGAGCCUGCGUAAUAUCAGCUAGUUGGUGAGGUAAUGGCUCACCAAGGCUAUGACGUUUAGCUGGUCUGAGAGGAUGGCCAGCCACAAGGGAACUGAGACACGGU